rnacentral:rRNA from 1 species
UCGAGGAUAUUUAGCAAUGCUCGAAAGAGUGACUAUGCGACGCCGCGUGUGCGAUGAAGGUCUUCGGAUCGUAAAGCACUGUCGACCGGGAGGAAUCUCUGGAGGCUUAAUAAGCUUGCAGGGUGACAGUACCGGUAGAGGAAGCCACGGCUAACUCCGUGCCAGCAGCCGCGGUAAUACGGAGGUGGCAGGCGUUACUCGGAUUGAUUGGGUGUAAAGGGUGGGUAGGCGGGUCUGCAAGUCGGAUGUGAAAUUCCCGGGCUUAACUCGGGCAGGUCAUCCGAAACUGCGGAUCUUGAGUACUGGAGAGGAUAGUGGAAUUCCUAGUGUAGCGGUAAAAUGCGUAGAUAUUAGGAGGAACACCAGUGGCGAAGGCGGCUAUCUGGACAGUAACUGACGCUGAGGCGCGAAAGCGUGGGGAGCAAACA